AUGGAGGAUGAAUUGGACGAGGUCAUCAUCGGGGAGGUGGAUGCUCAGAGAUUCACGGAAGAGGCCAGAUGUAUGGCGAUUGCUCGGGUAAACACAGAUAGGCCCUUCAGUGCCAUGGUGUUUUUUGAUAACAUGGAAUUCAUAUGGGGUUUAGCUCGAACUCCAAAGAUCCGAGAGGUGGGCGAGAAUUUGUUCAUCGUUCAACUGUUUUGUCUCGGCGACUGGAAGAGAGUUGUGCAUGGAGGCUCGUGGCUCCUUAGAGGGCUUGGAGUGAUAAUUGAGGAUUAUGAUGGCAAGAUGGAUCCGGAGGAAGUUGUGCUAGAUGGUUUGUAUGUUUGGGCUCAAAUUUAUAGGAUUCCGGAGUUGUAUCAUCAGGAGAUGAUGGUUGAUCAAUUAGCCCGCAGAAUCGGCAAGGUUCCGGAGGUCCAACUGCGACCCACCCUCUACUAUGAGGGGGAUUAUAUUCGAGUUCGGGCAAGGAUUUUGACGGCCAAGCCCCUAACUCGAUUCACACCUCUGACAGUGGUAGGGGAAGGCACCCGGAUGCUCGUUGUCAAGUAUGAGAAAAUUCCAUUUUUCUGCAAGGUGUGCGGCAUGAUGGGCCAUGGGUAUGAGGAAUGUGGUAAUGGAGUCUGGAAGGAUGAGGACAAGAAGUGGGGUGGCUGGAUGAUCUCUCAACGCCGCAUGGUGGCUUACUCGCAGCCUUCAGGGGUAGGUACCAUGCCCGGGGAAGAAGGGGGAGAGGUCGUGGAGGUACUGCAAGUCGUGGCUUUGCCCUUGCUCGAGGACGGGUUGAUGAAAAUGAGCAUCGAGGAGCACCAGCAGAGGGGACUCAAACCGAGAGGGGCAGGACAAUGGGCCAGCUAUUCGGGAAGAGGAUGUUGUGAAGGAGGCGGAGGAAGCAGCUAA
rnacentral:rRNA from 1 species